rnacentral:rRNA from 1 species
UCAUAGUAGAUAUGAUGCAAGAUCGACUAUGUUGAAUAAAAUUCUAGGUAGAAUUAUGAUAAUGACAUUGUCUGCCUAUGUGUCUUGACCAAAUUACGUGCCAGCAGUCGCGGUAAUACGUAGAAGACUAGUGUUAUUCAUGUUUAAUCGGUUUAAAGGGUACCUAGACGGUAGAUCAAGCUUUCUAAUAAAGGAAAAGGACUAGUUUACUAGAGUUACUUAUGAGGGGGUAUUAAAGUACUGCUGGUGUAGAGAUGAAAUUCUGUCAUACCUCUUUUCAAAAGAAAAACCAUGGCACAGGUAUAGGCGAAGGCAUCCCCUUAUGUGAUAACUGACGUUGAGGGACGAAGGCUUUGUGUAGCGAACAGGAUUAGAUACCCCAGUAGUCGAAGCAGAAAAUGAUGAAUGUCAUAGAUUAGAUAUAUAAGUUUAUUCUAUAAAUGAAAGUGUAAGCAUUCCACCUCAUGAGUAAUUUGGCAACAUUGGAACUGAAAUCAUUAGACCGUUUCUGAAACCAGUAGUGAAGUAUGUUGUUUAAUUUGAUGUCCCGCAAAAAACCUUACCACAAUUUGAAUAUUUAUAUUGUUUAUUGUUUUAUUCUUAAUUUUCUUGAAGAAAAUUAAGAAAAAAGCAAUAAGAUAUAAUUACAAGCGUUGCACGGCUGUCUUCAGUUAAUGUCGCGAGACUUUGGUUAGUUCCAUUAAAUUAACGUAAACCCUUACUUUAUUUUUAUAUAG